GCUGUAGCUCAGUGGUGGAGCAUCUGUUUUGCAUGCAAGAGGUCCCAGGUUCGGUCCCCAGCGUCUCCA